CCUUCGAUAGCUCAGUUGGUAGAGCGGUGGACUGUAGAGAGACAUGCAAUGUGUAGAAAUCCAUAGGUCGCUGGUUCAAAUCCGGCUCGAAGGA
rnacentral:tRNA from 1 species